rnacentral:rRNA from 1 species
AUUGAACGCUGGCGGCAUGCCUUACACAUGCAAGUCGAACGGUAACAGGCCGCAAGGUGCUGACGAGUGGCGAACGGGUGAGUAAUGCAUCGGAACGUGCCCAGUCGUGGGGGAUAACUGCUCGAAAGAGCAGCUAAUACCGCAUACGACCUGAGGGUGAAAGCGGGGGACCGUAAGGCCUCGCGCGAUUGGAGCGGCCGAUGUCAGAUUAGGUAGUUGGUGGGGUAAAGGCUCACCAAGCCAACGAUCUGUAGCUGGUCUGGGAGGACGACCAGCCACACUGGGACUGAGACACGGCCCAGACUCCUACGGGAGGCAGCAGUGGGGAAUUUUGGACAAUGGGCGCAAGCCUGAUCCAGCAAUGCCGCGUGCAGGAAGAAGGCCUUCGGGUUGUAAACUGCUUUUGUACGGAACGAAAAGGCUCUGGAUAAUACCUGGGGCUCAUGACGGUACCGUAAGAAUAAGCACCGGCUAACUACGUGCCAGCCGCCGCCGUAACAC